UACGGGGGGAGCAAGCGUUGUUCGGAUUUACUGGGCGUAAAGGGCGCGUAGGCGGUCGUGACAAGUCACUUGUGAAAUCUCCGGGCUUAACUCGGAACGGUCAAGUGAUACUGUCGGACUAGAGUACAGAAGGGGCAACUGGAAUUCUCGGUGUAGCGGUGAAAUGCGUAGAUAUCGAGAGGAACACCUGCGGCGAAGGCGGGUUGCUGGGCUGAUACUGACGCUGAGGCGCG
rnacentral:rRNA from 1 species